GACGAACGCUGGCGGCGUGCUUAACACAUGCCAGUCGAACGGACAGGCCCUGCUUUUGUGGGGUGCUCGAGUGGCGAACGGGUGAGUAACACGUGAGUAACCUGCCCUUGACUUUGGGAUAACUUCAGGAAACUGGGGCUAAUACCGGAUAGGAGCUCCUGCUGCAUGGUGGGGGUUGGAAAGUUUCGGCGGUUGGGGAUGGACUCGCGGCUUAUCAGCUUGUUGGUGGGGUAGUGGCUUACCAAGGCUUUGACGGGUAGCCGGCCUGAGAGGGUGACCGGCCACAUUGGGACUGAGAUACGGCCCAGACUCCUACGGGAGGCAGCAGUGGGGAAUAUUGCACAAUGGGCGGAAGCCUGAUGCAGCAACGCCGCGUGCGGGAUGACGGCCUUCGGGUUGUAAACCGCUUUCGCCUGUGACGAAGCGUGAGUGACGGUAAUGGGUAAAGAAGCACCGGCUAACUACGUG
rnacentral:rRNA from 1 species